rnacentral:rRNA from 1 species
UUGGAGGGCAAGUCUGGUGCCAGCAGCCGCGGUAAUUCCAGCUCCAAUAGCGUAUAUUAAAGUUGUUGCAGUUAAAAAGCUCGUAGUUGAAUUUCGGGAUCAAUAUAUCGGUCGUGCCAUUGGUACGUACUGGUAUCAUUGGUUUCUCCUUUCUGACGAACCAUGAUGUCAUUAAUUUGGUGUUAUGGGAAGUUAGGACUGUUACUUUGAAAAAAUUAGAGUGUUUAAAGCAGGCUUUAGCUUGAAUACAUUAGCAUGGAAUAAUGAAAUAGGACGUUCGAACCUAUUUUGUUGGUUUCUAGGAUCAACGUAAUGAUUAAUAGGGAUAGUUGGGGGCAUUAGUAUUCAAUUGUCAGAGGUGAAAUUCUUGGAUUUAUUGAAGACUAACUACUGCGAAAGCAUUUGCCAAGGAUGUUUUCAUUAAUCAAGAACGAAAGUUAGGGGAUCGAAGACGAUCAGAUACCGUCGUAGUCUUAACCAUAAACUAUGCCGACUAGGGAUCGGAUGAUGUUAAUUUUUUAAUGACUCAUUCGGCGCCUUACGGGAAACCAAAGUGUUUGGGUUC